AAAGGAAUUGACGGGGGCCCGCACAAGCGGUGGAGCAUGUGCUUUAAUUCGAUGCAACGCGAAGAACCUUACCUGGACUUGACAUGGGAGUGAAAGUCUUUAGAGAUAGAGGCCUUUCCGCAAGGAACACUCCACACAGGUGCUGCAUGGUUGUCGUCAGCUCGUGUCGUGAGAUGUUGGGUUAAGUCCCGCAACGAGCGCAACCCUCGCCCUUAGUUGCCAUCAGGUCAUGCUGGGAACUCUAAGGGGACUGCCCAGUUUAACUGGGAGGAAGGUGGGGAUGACGUCAAAUCCUCAUGGCCCUUACGUCCAGGGCUAGACACGUGCUACAAUGGUCGGUACAACGGGAUGCCAGACAGCGAUGUUGAGCUAAUCCCUUAAAACCGAUCUCAGUUCGGAUUGAAGUCUGCAAUUCGACUUCAUGAAGCUGGAAUCGCUAGUAAUCGCGGAUCAGCAUGCCGCGGUGAAUACGUUCCCGGGCCUUGUACACACCGCCCGU
rnacentral:rRNA from 1 species